CUUAAUGGUACUCAACAUUUGAUAGUCUUUAUAUGCGAUGCGAGAACCUUGUAGCAAGACAGCCUUCCUAUACCCAAAAGAGAGAACCUUGUUCCUUUGCCUUUGCAAAACUUGCACGCGCGAUCCCCUCUCUCUGCAAAUUCAAAUCCUAUGGUUUAGACUCAACUCUCAAAAUCCCAAAGGAGAUCUAUUCUCCUACCGCUUAAAAACCCUAAUAGACCAAUUAAAUUCUUUCAGUUCAUGCUCGUACCCCAGUACAACAACGCCAAAGAUUCACAGUUACUCUUUAUUAAUUUGACAUUUCUUGUCAAAUUCUCAGAGCCAUGAGUUACAUUUGUUGGUUCUGGUAAAAGGGUAAGCGCCAUACAUCUCAUAUCCAAAGAUACAAUGGAGGACCAACGCAUUCGUUUUUGAUACCCAGAUCGGAUUCAAAGAUUAUGGGUGAGAAGCGGAGUAGCGCUGGAUUGGGAGAUAAAGAUGAUUCUGCUCGUGGGCGGGUCAAAAUGCGAGAUCUUGAUUCCGUGUGUCGGUCUGAAGGAAUCAAUACCCAUUAUAAGAAAUCAUUGAAAAACAAAGAAUCCAGUGAUCAAUUUCAAUUGGGUGAAGAAGAGUUGUCUCAAGUUACCGAGGUGCCUGUAAGUUUGGAUUUGGAUGCUUCUCAAGCGGAGAAAACUGGAAGGAACUCAUUUCCAUUAGCAGUUAAUCUUGCUCCUAGACCACUGGAUCUCAAUACUGAAGUUUGUGUUGCUGAAGAUUCGGCCUGUGGUGAUGGUCAGAUAUGUGCUGAGAAUUCUAAUCCACCGUCUUUGUACAGGAAGCGCGAGAGAGUGCACGAUGGUAAAUGCCUAACCUCAAGAGGCAUUGGGUUCGAUCUUAAUGCAGAAGAUGUCUCUAGUUCAGUGAGUCCGGAGACAUCAUGUUAUCCUUCCAAAAUUCAUGGCCAGUUAAAGUCGAGAGAUGUUUCUGAGUGUGAGAGUUCUUUGGGACCGUUGGGAGAGAGAGAUCCAAAGCGACGUUGGGAGGAGAUGAAGCAAAAUGGUUUUCUCUCAUCUUCUUACGGAGGCAUACCAAUGCCAAAGCAACGUAUGAAGAAAAGUAAAAAUGACAUGAUCAAGAAAAGGAUGGAGCUUGCAAAGAGAGAACAAGUUGACAGGUUUACUAAGAUUGCUGCGCCAAGUGGGCUGCUCAACGAUUUGAACCCUGGGAUUAUAAACCACGUGAGAAACAGAAAACAGGUCCACUCAAUUAUAGAGGCCCUCGUAAGGUCUGAGCAACUCGAAAAUGAAAACAUUAGAAGCAAACAAACAGCUCAUCAGAGAAGUGGCACUACAGAAUCUGGCAACAGAAUGGACCCAGAAAACAUUAAUGAUUCAAGAAUACAUCCAGUCAUUUCUCAUAAAGAUGGACAUUUAAAUGCUUUAUCUGGGAUCAGGCAGACAGGAGUAUACACCAUGCCAAUGAAUAAAUAUUCUCAGUCGAUUGUAGAGGGUAAACGUGGACGUAAUGAGCUAAGCAUGGUAGAGACGGUGUGUGGUAAAAGUCAUAUCUCACACUUCACCCCUCUCAGUGAUGAUACUACACCAGAGCUUAAAGUGUCAUCUUCAUCUCAGGCAUCUGAGAAUGCUAGCUCCUCAUCUAACGAGGAUUCGGCAAACUUUGCCAGCACUGUAAAAGCUGCCAGUGUUGCUUCCCAAUGGUUGGAACUUCUUCAUCAAGACAUUCAAGGACGUCUUUCGGCAUUGCGACGUAGUAGGAAGAGAGUUCGAGCUGUAAUUAGUACAGAGUUGCCAUUUUUGAUAUCAAAAGAAUUCUCAUCUAGUCAGGUGAAUACUCCUUAUGUAAUGAGAAAUUCCAUUGAUGAAUUUUCGAAUAGUGCAACUGCAGACAUGCAUCGAGCAAGAUGGAACACGCUCUUUGAUCAGAUGGAUAAAGCUCUUUCUGAUGAAGAGAAACAGCUUGAAAGUUGGUUGAACCAAGUAAAAGAAAUGCAGCUGCAUUGUGAACAGGGGCUGCAACAUGUCAACUGGAAUGCGGCAUUUGGUCUAAAACAGUUGGGAACAUCAGAAAAUGACUCCAGGUAAAAACUUGUCUUAGUUGCUGCUGCCAUCAUCAACCUACUAUAAUCAUGGAUAAAUCCUGGCGGUAAACAGGUUGUCAUAUUAUUUAUAAUUACAGUCAAUGUGUGCAACUGCCAUGUGUUCUCUAAGAAAAGUAGCUGUUCUAAUUCAGUUAGGUUACUUAUUCUCAUGAGCAUUUUUGGGAACGAGGGAAAAGAGAAAGAGAAUCCAGUCUACAAAAGAUAUUAUCUGGGUUUGUAAUGCAUUUCUGUUCUGAAGUUAGAAAGGUGACAAACAUAAUAUUCCUACAUCAGUUGGAAGAAACAUGCACCUUCAGAUGGAUCUGUAAAUUUAGACUCAGCAAAUUUUGUUUUCUGCCAUUGCAUAAAUUAUGAAGUUGCAUUUCAGAGAGCAAGAGCGUGGCAAUUGAGAAAAAAUAGUUUUUGUUUUUUUGCCCGGAGAAAGAGUAGAUGGUGCUUUACUUCCCUGUGAAAGCCAAGAUUAUGAGAUCCACUUAUUAUCAGUUUACCUUCACAUUGUUUCCUGCAAAUUUCACUUUGAACCCCAUGAUUCCAGUGUUCAGUGGGAUUUCAAAUUUAUUUUUUCACUGAAAACAUGUUGAGUCACUAAUUAAACCAAACCUAAGGAGUAAGAGUUCACCUUACGCUAUGCCAGUCAAAAUAUGUUUCCAAUUGGUGUUAAAAAGUGUAGUUAUGGCUUUCUUGUUCUUAUGCAAUUUUUUGUUUUGCAUAAGAGCUCCCUUCAAAUAUUAUUACUCC